GGGCUGCAGUGGGGAAUCUUGCGCAAUGGGGGAAACCCUGACGCAGCGACGCCGCGUGGAGGAUGAAGGCUUUCGGGUUGUAAACUCCUUUUGUAGGGGAAAAUAAUGAUGGUACCCUACGAAUAAGCCACGGCUAACUCUGUGCCAGCAGCCGCGGUAAGACAGAGGUGGCGAGCGUUGUUCGGAAUUACUGGGCUUAAAGGGCGAGUAGGCGGCGGGACAAGUCUGGUGUGGAAUCUUAGGGCUUAACCCUAAAACUGCAUCAGAAACUGUUUUGCUUGAGUCAGUGAGGGGAGGGCGGAAUUCCUGGUGUAGCGGUGAAAUGCGUAGAUAUCAGGAGGAAGGCCGGUGGCGAAGGCGGCCCUCUGGCACUGUACUGACGCUGAGGCGCGAAAGCGUGGGGAGCAAACAGGAUUAGAUACCCCAGUAGUC
rnacentral:rRNA from 1 species